AUUGGAAACAUCAUUGCCUCCAUGCGCAAACGACAUGAAGCAAGCUGACAGGACCUGCAUGUAGCCGAAGACGCCAUAGACGAUCUCUAGCUGCGCUCCAGUGGGGCCUGCGACGUUAGUCAGGAAACCGAUGUGUUCGAGUGCCACAGGCCAAGGCCUGAACUAAUGCAACAGGAAAGCUCUUGCUGAGGGGGAAAGCAGCGAAGGAGAUUCCAGUAACUCCCAGGAACACAGCAAUAGGUGCAGCAGCAGCAGCUGCCUGCCCGGGAUUUGGAGCACUGUAUACAAACUACAAGAGAAACAGGUCAGCCAUUAACAGAUGUUUAAAUUACGCAAGCAAUUAUGUUACUGCCGGUGUGGAUGAAGACACAGACUCUGCGUAUGCACUUGUAGACAAUGAAUGAGGCUGCUGCGCCCAUGACAGGGGAGAUGAUCCACGAGGAAGUCACCCUGGCCAAUGAACUCCAGAAGACAGCACCAAUUCCCCCAUAUAUAAGCCCAAACCCAACCAUGGCUCCUACUAUGCAGUGCGUAGUGGAGACAGGCCAUCCAUAAAAUGAUGCCACCUGAACGAACAUUAGAUGAUCAUUGUUGAAACAUGUAGCAUAGACUGCAGAUAUAACUACAUUAGGGGUUUGGCAUCACCUGUGUCUAUCUGAAGAAAAAAGAUGGUCGAUGAGCCCUGCCUUUAUAAUUCAGUACCAUUAGAAGUACUUGUGAAUUAACUAGUCUACUUAGGGUUUGGAACAACUGUCAAACAUAUUGUUAUAAGCCAGUCGAUGUAAGGCAUAUAACAAUGUGGGUAAUUUUGGGUUAUUUUUCAUUCUUGAUGAAGAUGCAAAUCAUAAAUGAGAGAGAUUAUGAUAUUGUAAUUUGAUGUAGGUGAAAGUGGUGACCAAAUAGCCACCUAGGGCUUCCAGUCAUGAAACAUACAUCCUUCUGAACCUAAAUAUAAAGCAUACAUCUGGUGACCAAAUAGCCACCUAGUGCUUCCAGGCAUUGGCUACCUUAUAGUGGAACAACACUAGUAAACCAAACCCUCGAUGUAUCAAUUGUUUCACAGGAAGCUGCUAUGUAUGAAGCUCAAAUUGCACAUCUAGUUGAAGUCCACAUGUUCUACAAAAAUACUUCUGAAUGUAGUGCAUCUAGUGUUUAGUGAUGCCUUGCAUUAAUUGUCAUUUGGUCUCCAGACACCACUAAAUUUACGCAAUAUAUUCUCACUAAUUAUAUAGAUCCAAGAGAAGAGCAGUUGGUAAUACAAAAGCUUGGUCUCUGUUUCUGGUGGAAUCUAUGUUCUAAAUUCACAUUCAUCGCAUGCUUAUUAGAGAAGUGGAUCAUCGUUUUUGCAAUUUGCGAUAAAACUGCAUUUUGAUAUUUCAUAGUGCAGAUGUCUUCGACACAUACAAUUAGUUCAACAGAAGAUUCAAAAGGUUUACUUUAACCUCAAGCUGGGAAAUCAUUAUUGUGAGCGAUGGCAGCAAGUGCAACGCAAUCUAGUACUCGAUGAUGGUAAAGAGGAUGGGGAAGGGGAGUAGACCUGCAACCAAGUACCAGCUGCGGCGAGAGAAGAAAGCAGCCCUGCGAAGAGCAAGGUGUCCUUCCCCUGGAAGACGGAGGCUACGAGGAUCCCCUUCUGCAUCGUGCUGGUGACGUGCGUCCCCAUGAGCAAGGCCCCCGAGAACUCGAGCACGGCCGCGGUCAUGACGGCCUGCCGCAGGGUUAGCGCCCCCGAGCCGACCGACGUCCCCAUGGCGUUGGCCACGUCGUUGGCCCCGAUGUUCCACGCCAUGUAGAAGCCCGAGAGCAGGGUGAGGUACGACAGGGCCUUCGUCUUCAGGUCGGCCGCCUGCCCCAGCGACCUCAUCGCCAGGGGCAAGGUGAGCGCGGCGAAGGCGAUGAGGAUGCAGACGGCGGAGGCGGUUCUGGACGAGAUGUGGAAAGCCUUGGCCAAUUCGGGCAGCUCCUCCCCUUCCUCCGUGCUGGCCUCCACGACGGGCUUCGGCCCGUCGUCGGCGCCGGAGAAGGAGGAGGAGAGGGUGGCCAUAGGAAGGUGGCGCCUGUCGAGGGCGGGUCUGAGAGGAUAAGACUUGAAGCAAGGGAAGGUCUUCGUGGAGGAGUUGUCAUGGAGUGGGGGACGAGGGUGGGAUGGCAGUCGCCGAAGCGGCCUUCGAAGAAUGAAAGCGGAAGCCACAGCUGCUGUUGCUCUACCACUUCCUCCUACUCCACUGUGUCUCGCGAAGGAGAAGUAUGGGGAAGAGAGAACCAUGACGACGCAGUAGGAGAGCGAGAGCGGAGAGGGAAGAGGUUGGUCUGAGGAGGAGGUUAGGAGGAGGGGGCAGUGGUGGUGGCCAUGGGAGGACGGAGGUAGUGGUGGACAUGGCGAUUGGUAGGGGGCAAAGGGGGUCUUUUUGGGUUUUGUGGUCUCGCGGGUGGUCGAACGGUGGCGGCUUCCUCACUGCCAACGAGUGGUGGGAAUGAGACGACACCUCUCCCUCCUGAUCUACAACUUCCACAAACAUUAUAUAUAUAUAUAUAUAUAUAUAUAUAUAUAUAUAUAUAUAGAGGAUGCUCCUUACUAUUGUAUACAUCAAUCAUAAAAAUAAUUAUUUUAAUAUUUAGAUAAGAUUGUAUACAUUAACCCUUCAUAGAUCUUUAUGUAUAUUGGUGAGAGUUCUAAUGUGAA